GACUGGCCUCCCACGAGAGGCUCACAUCUCACAUGCAGAAGUCUCUCUUCUGGCCAUCUCGGCCGCCUUUCAGAUUGUGGAGAUGAUGGAGUCCCAGGCAGCCAACCUCAGAGCUGGCAGACAGAAACAGCUGAGAAGAAGUUGCCUAACUGUGAGAAGAUGGCUUUGGAAUUUGGGAACCAGCUGGAGGGCAAGUGGGCCGUGCUGGGGACCCUGCUGCAGGAAUCCAGCCUGCUGCAGAGGCUGCUGGAGAACAUGGAGAACCUGCUGAGAAAUGGAACUUCUGGGUCCUGAGGCUGCCCCCGGGCAACAAUGGGGAGGCCCCCAAGGUGUCCCUGACAACAGAAGAUGUGGCCAUGUGACUCAGAGCAGGAGUGGGGCAGCCUGGAACACCAGCAGAAGGAGCUCCGCAAGCACAUGAAAGGGAACCACGAGACUCUGAUCUCCCUGGGAUAUGUGAUUGGCUGCCAGAACAGCGAUGGAGAAAACACAAAACAAAACAAAGUAAUGAACCAGUGGCUUCAGCAAGAUAGUGGUGAGUGCCAGCUCUCCCCUGACAGGCUCUUAUUGUCACAGACCCAGGCUCCUUCCAGCUUGUUGCUCUCCCCUUCCCAGGAUGGGGCCUUGUCGCCAUGGUUCUAGACGGCUCAGUACUGUCUGUAGUCUGUCAGAGGGAGGCAGGGAGGGGGCGGUGCUCUUUCCCUUUAAGGACAGCACAUGUGUUUACUUCUUAUUUAAUUAACGCAUAUUUAGUACUUAUCAUGUACUUUAUCAGUAUUGACCCACGGAAGCUUCAUUGCAACCUUUUGUUUACUCGUGUUAUAGAUCAAGAGACCAAGGCACAGAGUGGCUGAAUAAAUUGUCCCAUUUCAUGUAGCCGUAGGAGGCAGAGCCUCUCACACCCCGUUGAGGAGAACCAGCCACACAACCACAUUAGCUUGCAGCGGAGGCCUGGAAACAUGGUCCUGUUUAGGUGGCCACGUGCUCAGCAAAAAACACCCCCAAAUGUUCUGUGACUUGAAGGUGAUCUGUGGUGUCGGAGGACAGCCUGAGAGCCUCUGUCAUAGCUCACGGCCUGUCACCUGUGGGCCGAGCUCUCCUGGCUCUCCUGACAACCUGCCCAGGGCUCUUUCCACUGUGACACCUGUCUCUGUCCUCAGAAAUCCCUAGUAUAGGCACGCCUGGGAGAUGUUGUGGGGUCGAUUCCAGACCACUGCAGUAAAGCUAAUACUGCAAUAAAGCAGGUCCAAGGACUGUGUUGGUUUCCCCGUGCGUGGAAGUUCCCUACACACGACACUGGGUCUGUGAGCUGUGCAAUAGCAUUGUGUCUAAAACGACAAUGGACAUGCCUUCAUUGAACGAUACUUUAUUGCUAGAACGUGCUAACUGCCAUCUGAGCUUUCGGUGAGUCAGUCCUGCCGCUGCUGGAGGGUCUCGGCGGCGCUGCCAACCCAUCAGGGUGCUGGGCGCUGGAGGCCGGCGCGGCCGUGCAGGUUCGUAAGACAAGCGGCUCAUCUGUCACAGUUUCUCUGCCGCGGCCGGUGCUGCCGGGUGGCAUUUUACCCGCAGCAGAACUGCCUUCAGAAUUGGAGUCUGUCCUCCCGAGCCCUGCCACUGCCUCAUCGGCUGAGCUGCAGUCACGUUCUCGAUCCUCGGUGGUCGUUUCAAGCAUCGUCUCGGUGUCUCCGCCAGGACGAGCUGCAUCCCAGGAAACCCCUUGCUUGGCGCGGCCCAAAGCAGCUCACGUUCGGUCCUGACUUUGCAGCAGCUCCGUGCCCUCUUCGGGCUCCACUCCUGGUUCUGUCCUCUGGCUGUUUCCACUUCCUCCACCGACAUCUGAACCUUCAUUUGUAAAAAGACAGAAUCUGUGAAGCACAGUAAAGCAAAGUGCAAUAAAAUGAGAUAUGCUUGUAGAGAAAAUAAAAAAUAUGAUGAAUACAGGCUCUCCCAGAGUCCGGAACUUCUAGCAGCCUUGGUCCCCACUGCCCUGGCCCCCACUGCCCUGGCCCCUCUGGGACUCUGUGAGAACAGCCAAGGAAGCUAGGCACAGGGGCGAAGCCUAGCAUCUGUGUUGGGUGGGAGGGUGACAGGAGGCAGGAAAGAGCUGAACAGCUGGGGGCAAAGGGAAGGAGAAGGGCAGAGGGAGGUUCGUGGAUGUGGUGGGGGGGAGGGUUAGAGAUUACUGAGGAUGCGGAACUUCAGAGUUCAAACUUCUGGAGGUGGGACAGUUUCUAGUGAUGACCAGGUCCCAGCUGUGUCCUCUGGCCAAAGAGGAGCCAAGGUCAAGGCACUGAGGGACCGGGGACGGAGGCUCAUCAGCAUGGAUGCAGAGAGCACCAAGCAUGACCAGAGCAUGGAGGA